rnacentral:tRNA from 1 species
AGUAGCAUGGCUGAGCAGCCUAAGGUGCUGGAUUUAGGCUCCAGUCUCUUCAGAGUCGUGGGUUCAAAUUCCAUUGCUGCCA